UGUGUUUCUCUCCCUCCUACUUAGGAGAUUGUCUGCAGGUGUGGACGGACGGUGCUGCAGGAGCCUGGCCAGACAACAGACCGGCGGGGUAUACUACGAACCUCGCUGAACAUACCCAGCCAUUCGACAGAGACGCAACUCACGAUCAGAGUUAAAUGGUACUACGAAGCUCACUUAGGAUUAAAGGGGUUUUAUAUGCGUCUGAAAAAACCCCAGUACAGAAACAAUAGGGGCUAAGCAGCUUCGCUGCUCGGACCCCUAAUAAGGUACGUCCAACCUGCCUUAUUCUAUAAUUUAGGGAAUUCACUUUAAUUAAUUUUACUCUGCAAUAACUUGAAUGGAACUUCAGAUGUUUGGGGACAAGCAGCACAGCAGUCAGGGCCGUUCAGGAUGCUGCCAAGUUACGGGUGCAAUUGAGACUUAUCUCGCAGAGCGCUCAGAGAGCAGAUGUUCUCGUGUGAGGCAGCCGGACAGUACGUUGGAGUUCUCCACUGGCAGUGUAGCGUCUCCCAAACGCGGUUAAAGAAUUUUUGAAGUAAGGAGGAGCAUCUCAUCUGAACCUGAUGUCUAUCAUGGAUAUGUAACUGCAGUUCUGUGAGUAUCCCAACUUGACCAUGAAGUUGAACUGCGAACUGUAAGUGAUUAGUUUCUCAUUACUCUUGGGCACAUUGAUGUACUUUGGCUUCCUGGCGAGUUAACCUGUUAGCUGAAGGUUGAUCUGAGAAGUGAGGAUGUUUUAUUGGUUCAUGGGUUACUGAGGUGUUUGUUUUAUGUUGGUUUUAAUGGUUUGUUAAAACGGUUACAGGUUCUAAGUUAUUGUUGUAAGCUGGAGUAAUGGGUUGGGUUCUGAUAUCUUCAGUCUUCUUUCCAGCUACUCUCCUGAGCUCUGCAUCUUCAUCACAUGAGUGUUGCUUUACUGAUGAGGUUGUGGUCUGAGUGAGCAGAGGUGCAUACUGGGAUACAGAGCUGUCUCAAGUCUACAGGUCUGUAGACACGCCCCCUCAGGGGAAACCGUCGUGACGUCAGUUACCUGGACUAGAAUGUUCUUUAAGAUGGAGACAGGGAUUCAGAAGGAGAAACACCAGGGGGAGAUGAGGGGGGCUCCUCAUCUCAACGACUGAAACACAACUACAGUCUGACACAGAGAACCAUGGAACACAUUCAACAGUCCCCUCCAGGCAUCGUGAAUCCUCAGGAACAGUUUCAUUUCCAAGAAGGUCUUAUUUGGGGCCAUCCCCAGAUGUAUCCUGCUCCUCAAGAGCCACCCCCCUCCACUGGGUUGUCUUCUGAACAGAUGACUUCCUUCCUGUCCUCAGGCUGACUAAAGCUGCACUGUUUGCAUCUGUGAAGGCCCCUCAUUCAGGAAACCACUGGACUACAAAGACAUGACUUCAGAGACGUUGAAUCAACCUUGGAGACGCCAAGAAUAAUCCAUCACCAAUGUGGGACGCCACUGAAGAAUGUUGUACAUAAUUUACGUCUCUGGAGACAUUGGUUGUUCUGUUCUGGGUGCCCUGGCAGGAGAGCUGGGGUUGGAUGAUGGAAUGUUCUUUGGCAUGAGGUUUUUACCCUGCAUGAUUGUUUGGCCUUUUAUGGCUCAGUGGUGUGUGUGGGUUUGACAUGAGAUGGAUGAUUUUUGAGCAUCUGGCAUGGGGUUCUACGUGUGUUUGGUUCCACUUGGCAUGGGGUUCUACGUCCGUGUCCUGGGUUCUGUGUGUGUGUGUGUCCGGCUUGCUUUGACGGUGAUAAUGUUCAUACGGGGGUCUGUGUGGUUGGCUUGGGAUAUUGGAAUGGUCAACUAAAUCAUACCUGAUGGACGGCCACACGUUUACUUGAGGCCUCCAGUAGACGUGAAGAGCCCUGAGCGACGCUCCGGAGCGAUAUCCAACACACUGGGCAGGAAGGAGAGUAUCCAACUCGAGUGUAAAAGGAUGCAAGCAGCGUGUUCAGAUCAGUGACUUCAAACUAGGACUACACCAAUCAGGAUCAAUGGAGGAUGGACACCUAAAGGAAUUCCACAAGGAGAGUCUGACGUUGGAAAUGGACCUAAAUGGAUAUUCAAGAUGAUCUUCAGACCUGCAAGGAGACGGCUCUUCAUACCUGGCUGGAUUGAUGGAGAGCCCUGUGGAUCUUGUCUCGCUCUCAGUUGCACGUCUUCGCAGGCUGAACUGUAUUUGUUUCGGACAGGACUAGCUGAACGAUUGGUUCUGAUUUAAGGGAACCAAUCGUGGGAACUCCAACUAGUGCGCUCUUCGAGCUGAAGUUGUGCUCUUCAGCUGAGGUAAGGAAACCUUCACUGGGGCUUCAAGGUGUAAAGAGGAGGACUGUUUCAAAGUGUUCCAUGGUACUCUGAUGAGGACCGUUGUUGUAUCUUCCUCUUGGCCUUUCUCCUCUGAGAAUCCUGCCGCCAUCUUGAAGGAUAUUCUAGCGCAUGUAACUUAUGUCACGACACAUUCUCAAACACUUGGUUUCUCCUGAGGGGCUUGUCUAUAGAACUGAAGACGUCAGACAGCACUGUAUCCCAGCAUGCAUCUCUGCUCUCAGACCACACCCCCAUGAGUAGGAUGCAACACUAGCGAUGGAGAUGUAGAGUUUUAUAAGUAACGAGGGACAAGACAAAGGUGAUUAGAACACAAUGGCAUGUCAAGUCUGUAAAUCUUUAAACCAUGAAGAUGGUUGGAUUGUUCAGGAAUUGGGCUUUAUUUUAGUAUGGGCAGUCCUUAUUGAAUGAUUCCAUUGUUUUUAGGCAAGGAUUUGUUGUUGUGGGAUGUACAUGGUAGUUUGGUUCUUCGUACGGUUUUGAUUGAUAUAACUUGUACACACUGGGUGCAUAAUAAUUUAAAGCUACACUGAAUAGUAGUAAUGACCAACAGCAACAAACAGAUCUCCUCAAGGUAAGUCUGUUGGCUGUGUUUUCAUGAAGACCAUCACUGGACUUCAGGAUCUUCCUCCGUUCAGCUCAAGGUGAGGCGCUGGUUAUGUUUUUUCUUUGGUUGGUUCCGGCUGGAAUGUUCGGAUUCCAGUCGGACGGUUUGUGCUUCCCGCCGUGGAAGGUUUUGAGUGCGGUCACUUGAUUUAGUCCCAAUGGAUAGCAUAGAACGUUGUAGUCUUGACAACCAUUAGAAGCCACCUAGCAGUUAGUUGGAUAGGAAUCUGGCUGAACGUUCUGGAUUGUAUUUGCGUAACCUCGAGCCGUUGCCAACGGAAACUAUUUUUCAGUCGGUUUCCAUUGGGAAAUGUUUUCCCCUUAUCUUAAACAACUUAAGUUUGAUAUUAAAUACAUACUGACACGUACAAUCGUACAAUAUGUUGAUAAUUUCCGAUGGUUGCGGCGUACUUUUAACCACGUUAACGGGACUCUCGCUGCGUACGAAACGGCAUUCUACUUGCGGGCCCAUUUCUGACAUCAGUGAAGGCUGAAAAACAUUUCAAGGUGGAAGGCAAUUUGACAUUUCUUCAGCGGAACCCAGCACCUGAAUAUGGCGAGUAAAUUUGAUUUAAUAUCAAUACUACUUAGUGUUCUUUGUUACUUCUAUCUGCUGUCAUUAAUUGCCACAUAAGUUAAACCCUACCUAAUGGAAUGACGUUAAACAAUGACUUUGGUGCUGAGUUACCAACUGGAUAAUAUCAAAGCUAAAAUAAUGGCCGUCCUUCCCAUGUGUUACAGUAGAAGAUACUCUGUAUCUGUGCAAGGUUAAAAAGGUAACAUGUAGUUUGUCCCAAGGUGUCCACCUCCUCACCCAGAGCCAGACCUCCACCUCCUCACAAGUCCUCCAGAACAGCUGAAAGGCGAGGCUGGGGACCGGAGGCUUGUGGUGCCAGGGUGGACCGGAGACUGAGGCUGGAGACCAGGGGCCUGCAGCACCGGACCAGGGGACCAGGAAUCCAUGGCUGAAGGAGCUGAUGGAGCCGUGCUGAAGGAGCUGACGGAGGCCCUGCCUGGUGGAGGAUGUCUGUCGUGGGGUAGAUGGAGCCUGACUCUGAAACCAGGACUCUGUCUGAGGAGAGCUGAUGGAGGAGCUGAGACGCUGGAGGACGACUAGGAAUCGACCAACAGGGAUUCCUCGACGUAUUUCUGGAGCGGAGGCGAGCUGGUAGGGGAGCCAUGAAUCUGGAGGAUGACCAUGACUCUACCAACAAGGAUUACACACCUGAGCUGAACCACACCUGAGCUGAACCUCACCUGAUCCUGUUUGGUCGGGGGCAGACACACCUGCGCUGAACCCGCCCUGAUCCUGACAUCCUGCUGGUCCCGUCUCCUCAGUUCAUCUGAGCCUCGUCCUCCAGAAGACCUGCUGAGCUCAGCAGUCUGAGGCUGAUGGAUCAAUGACCUCCAGUGGGAGUGAUCUUCUUGACCUCACAUUCCAGGAAUCCAUGGCUGAUGGAGGAGCCGUGCUGAAGGUCCUGCCUAGUGGAGGAGCUGAUGGAGGCCCUGCCUGGUGGAGGAGUCGUGCUGCAGGCCCUGCCUGGUGGAGGUGCUGAUGGAGGCCCUGCCGGGUGGAGGAGCCGUGCUGAAGGCCCUGCCUGGUGGAGGAGCUGAUGGAGGCCCUGCCUGGUGGAGGAGCCGUGCUGAAGGCCCUGCCUGGUGGAGGAGCUGGUGGAGGCCCUGCCUGGUGGAGGAGCUGGUGGAGGCCCUGUCUGGUGAAGGACGUCCGUCGUGGGACCAGGACUCUGUCUGAGGAGAGCUGCUGGAGGACGACUAGGAAUCGACCAACAAGGAUUCCUUAGACCAAUUACGUUUGUAACCAGACCAGGAAUCUGGAGGACUGAUGGAGAAGCUGUACAUCUAGAAGGCAGAUCCUGAGGACCACCAGGACUCUACCAUUAAGGAUUCCUCACGCACCUGAGCUGAACCUCACCUGAUCCUGUUUGGUCGGGGGUAGACACACCUGAGCUGAACCCGCCCUGAUCCUGACAUCCUGCUGGUCCCGUCUCCUCAGUUCAUCUGAGCCUCGUCCUCCAGAAGACCUGCUGAGCUCAGCAAUCUGAGGCUGAUGGAUCAAUGACCUCCAGUGGGAGUGAUCUUCUUGACCCCACAUGUAACCGUGUGCUUCCACACGCCUUUCCCUCACGUCUGUCACUAACCUCACUACUUCACUACUCUCUACUGCUUCCUCUUCUUCUUCCUUCUCUGUGGUUCGAACCUUUACACGGAAGGCGCGUCUUCCUGCCCUCAGAGGGUUCAGCGUUAGGGUUGAGAGUCAGGGUUUAGAGUCAGGGACAGAGCUGGUCAGGGAGGACUGCUUUUACACAAACCUCUUCACUUGCUUUCGGAAUGGUGGUGACAUUUUGAAAAGAUUCAUUUGGGAAAAUGUUUUCAUCUGCUUCCCUUUACAAAAUUGUAUUUAACUUCUGUCAAGUGUUUUUGUUUAUAUAUUAAAAUCCCACAUUGACUUCUACAUGUUUGGUGCGGUUCAUUUAAUUGUCCUUUUAACUUGGUUAAUGUCAAGCUAAACUCCUGCAAUACAUUUAAUAUACAUGAUUGUUAUUCAGCAAUGUUCACAUAAUCCAUUUAGUAAAAAUAUGAAACCUCAAUAUUACUACAAAAUUCAAGCCUAUUCAUGUAUUUAACAAUGUACAUACUGCCCUGCAGGCCAUUCUCUGCUACUACAACACUUUCAAACCACCAACCCAUCUCACAUCAAUGUACUAUAGCUACGUUGGUUCAAACGGAAAAUGUAGUUUGGUGCGAGACUGUUGUCCAGCAGAGGGAGCUGUCAUACACCUUAAUUAUACAGGGAUGUCUGUGUAUUUACAUUUUAAAAUGUUCAUGUGCUGGUCUAGUUUGUCUGCAAAUAACUCUGUGGAUAAGCAGCACAGCAGUCAGGUAGCUAUUUUAUGCUAAAAUAAACUGCAUAUUUUGUUGAUUUAUGUGAAGCAUUAUUUUUUUUUCAUGCAAAUUAAAGCAUAUAAAU